CCUACGGGUGGCAGCAGUGGGGAAUAUUGGGCAAUGGGCGCAAGCCUGACCCAGCAACGCCGCGUGAAGGAAGAAGGCCUUCGGGUUGUAAACUUCUUUUCUCAGGGACGCAAAAAGUGACGGUACCUGAGGAAUAAGCCACGGCUAACUACGUGCCAGCAGCCGCGGUAAUACGUAGGGAGCAAGCGUUAUCCGGAUUUAUUGGGUGUAAAGGGCGUGUAGGCGGGAGAGCAAGUCAGAUGUGAAAACUCAGGGCUGAACCCUGGGCCUGGAUUCGAAACUGGGGUUCUUGAGUGCUGGAGAGGCAAUCGGAAUGCGGGGUGUAGCGGUGAAAUGCGUAGAUAUACGGAGGAACACCAGUGGCGAAGGCGGAUUGCUGGACAGUAACUGACGCUGAGGCGCGAAAGCGUGGGGAGCGAACAGGAUUAGAUACCCCUGUAGUC
rnacentral:rRNA from 1 species